AAGCCCCGGCACCUUUUGGGGUGCUUCUUCGAACUUGCAUUUCGAUGUGCUCUCACCGCGAGG
rnacentral:tRNA from 1 species